GCUAGGUCGAUCCAGGGGAGGCGAAUGAUGCGAGCAGAUGCCCCAUGAGACACUGCGAGCAAAGAUGCGCAACUGGAUCAAUUCCAUGCCUCCUAAUCUUCUACAAAGAAAGCAUCUCCGGUUUCAAACUACAUCAAUGAAGAAGACCUUCUGUUUUGUUGGCAUGGCAUGAUACCACUCUGGAUGCGGUUGCCAAGAAUGGUCAAACUAGUAUAAAGUAUUGGAAGUGACCAAAAGAGAGUUCUAACCAUCAAGGAAGGUAUUUGGAGCAAGUAAGGAACCCAUCUCCUGGUAGUGUUACCAUUAACAACAUGGGAUAGCCCAGGAAAGGUACAAACAACUGCCGAGGGUGACGGGGAAAGCAUUUGGCCUUUGACCUCGUUGAGAAGGAUUAGAGGGCAAUGUGAAGAGGAAAUAGAAGGAGGAGUCUCCACCCUUGAAACAAAUGAGUCAAUCCAUUGACGCCAUUUUGUUGGAAAGCCUUUCAUAUGCAUAUAUUGUUGCAAGAAUGGCCAUUUAAAUUUGUUAUAGGCCUUUCCAAAAUCUACUUUGAAGAUAGCUCGGUCAAGUUUCGUCGAUCGCAACGUAUGGAUCCUUUCAUGUAAUACAACAAUCCCCUCCAGGAUGUGUCGCCCUGGCAUGAACGUCGUUUGUG